rnacentral:rRNA from 1 species
UACGGAGGGGGCUAGCGUUGUUCGGAAUUACUGGGCGUAAAGCGCACGUAGGCGGCUUUGUAAGUUAGAGGUGAAAGCCCCGGAGCUCAACUCCGGAAUUGCCUUUAAGACUGCAUCGCUCGAAUCAUGGAGAGGUGAGUGGAAUUCCGAGUGUAGAGGUGAAAUUCGUAGAUAUUCGGAAGAACACCAGUGGCGAAGGCGGCCCACUGGUCCGGUACUGACGCUGAGGUGGCGAAAGCGUGGGGAGCAAACAGG